CACUAACCACCUGUUUUCCUAGGAGCUCCUGAGCUCUCUUAAGCUCCUCGAGAUCGUUGGUUGACGGCCUGCCAGACCAGCCCUAAACAACACUAAAUUAGGCUAAAACUUGUCCUGGUGCAUUACAGAUGUUUAUCCAAUUAUUCAUAUCCACUUCAUUAUUCAUUUUCUACGUGCAAGCUUCAAAAAGACUAUUGUGAAAACAACAGAUGUUUGCAAAGGAAAGUUAUUCUAAACCUUUUCCUGGUUCACACAUUUACACCAUCUGACAUUUAACGUUCUUAAAAUAAAAAUAGUUUAAUAGAGGAUGAAUGUUUAAAUAUUUCACUGAAUCAAUUUAUUUUCACACUUAGGCCUUGAAGAUACUAUCUGGUGCAUCAUUUAAGAGAAAAACAUCAUGUGACCAUGCUGGCCCCAAAAGCUGUCCCAUUCCUCACAGUAACGACUGGGAAAUCCUAUUCAGCUUGGAACACUGUUUUCUCCUUAUAACAGAUUUAUGCUCUUAAAAUCUAAUUGGUAGUCCAUGCAGUUGUAGCACAUUGGUAGUAAACACUCUUCCUGGCCUGUUUUAGCGGUAAACAAGGUAUGUUAUGGAAUGUAGGCUAUGGCUCACAGAUUUUCCAGAGGGUUAAAAAGAAACAGAACAGAAUAAUGUAAAACAGUAAUGACCUCAGCAAAGAUGAUCACAUUGAAUUUGUUUUUCAGAACAAAAUGCCUGUGGUGUGCACACAAUGACUCCAGUUGUGUGGGAACAUUCACAACAACCAAGUGAUCCUACAGCAUUAUUGCUUCGCUUCCUUCACAAUAACAGAGCAUUUUAACGUGAAUUCAGACAAUGAAUGUCCCUUCAAACUGAGUCAGCCUACUUCAUGAAUGCAUGACCCCCCUCCCUCUAUAUAUCCAAGUGAUGGCUGCACAGAGGGAGGUAGCAGAAACUUCUCCCCGCCCACUUGCACUUGCUCCUGUUGCGGGUUUCAUACCAGCUGCAUUGUCACGGGAAACCUUAAACUAUCUGUCCCAGUCAUCGUCACCGCCAUGGGACGAGGUCUGCUGUGUGUCUGUCUGCUGUUAUUCGCUCUUUUCAAAGAAACAUGUGGGUUUAAAGUCCAGAACAAGCUGCUGGGGAAAUGCCUGCAGGUGCAAGAAGGAAGCUUUGGAGGUAGAGUGUCUCUGGGUGAUUGCAGCCCAUAUUCAGCCGUACAGGAAUGGCGGUGGCUCCCAGAGAGUCAGGCUCUCAGGAGUCACCGCACUGGGGAGUGUUUGACUGCCCCCGCAGAGCAGUACGAAGGUGUCCAUCUGCAGUCCUGCAUCGUUCAUGCUGAAAGACAGGAGACUGGAGAUGAAGUGCCAGUGGUGGAAAUGGACAGAGAGGCAAGGAGCCAAUCAUGGUCCUGUUCCAAGAAAGGACACAUAACUCUGACAGGGCGGGGACUGCACCUUAGUGCCACACAAGAAUCUACUUUGGUCUUCCUUUCAAGGGAACAUAAGCAGCAGGGCAGCAGAUGGCGGACUCUUGACAACCAGACAUUGUGCAUGGGAGAGAGAGCAAACCUAACCACCACCAAACUCUCCAUCAUCAAGAGAAAUCGUCAGCGCCAGGAAUUUCUUCAAGUGCUGUGUCUGAUAUGCAACACGAGGCUGAACCAGUUGAAGGUAUAACAGGCACUGAGGUACAGAAACACAUUCUGCAAAAGAGGACCCUGUUUCUUUCCAGAGCACCAAAUCUCCUGCAGAUCCCACCAUGAUCUUCUUCAGCAUGGACUAUGGCAUGGGCUGGAAGAUAACCAUGUUGGUACUCAGCUCUUUGGCUCUGGUCCUUGGGGCUGUGAUUCUUAUCCUCAAUGUUUACUCCAAUAGCAGAAGGAAGAAGGUGGUGUGUGUUCUGAAGUCAUACACUCCUCGGCCAGAGAUGAGUGUACCUCGAUCCCCUGUGCCCAAUGAAAGAGCCCCGCUGACAGAGCACGCCAUGUGUCUCCCGCACUCCACCCCCACUUUACAGCGAGGAGAAAUCCUGAUUCAGUGGAAGGACGGCACUGUAACUCCACUGUACGAGGCCUGAAGGUUUUGUAAAUUUAGAUGUGUUUUAAGUUGUGCAAACAUGCAUGCUCUCUUGUGUAGGUUUGUAUGUGUGUAUGGGUCAUGCACAAACGCUCCUGAAUGUGUUUUAAUGAGAGUCUGUGGGGAAGUGGAAAAGGUGAAAAACAAAAGGCAAAAUAAGGUUAUGUUUUGUUUAGUUUCAGACUCUUUUCAUCAGUGUUACCAAGCUGUUUCAUUAAAUGGAAAUUUCAUGGAUCAGUAUCGCAACCGUGUCAGUGAGGCUUAGCUGCCACAGGAAGAUAUAAGCUGUCAUGAAGCUGCCAGAAAAGAAAAGACGAGCAAAAGCUGGACUUUCAGUUUUUUAAUAAUACUGAGUCCUGACUUCUGCUGUUGGAGAUUCGAGGGAUUGCUUGUUGGUUUCUAAAAUUAUGGGUAAGCAUUCAGAAAGUGUUUGACUUACUCAAAGUGUCAUUUAAGGGCUUAACAAAGCAUCCAAUAUAUUAGGCCUUUACUUGGAUAAAUACUUGGGAAAACUUAUCUUUGUUUGCCAAGGCCUCAACUGAGAUGUGUUCUACCUUCAUGUCGGACACUUUGUGCUGUGGUUUUGAAUGAGGUUAAGUUGCUUGAUGUCGAGGAAUUGGAAAGGCGGCAUAGUAAUUCUUAACAGAUUGUUGAAUGGUCACUAAACAUUGUACUUCUUUCUUUACAUACUGUAUUAAUAACAAAAGCACAAUUGACAAGCGUCACACCUUGACCCCAGAGAAGCACACCUUUCGUAAUAGGAUAUGUAUAAUAACGUGUGUGUAUUAACUAGGUGAACUUGGGGAAAGUUUAUUUCUUAACAGAAUUUACUGUUAUGCCUACAUGCAUGAUCAUAACUAUUUAGUUAAUAUUUUUUUAAAGAAAGAAAUCUUUCCCAAGCUUUGUAUGUUUUGUUAUCAGUCUAACAGUAUUACAUUUGAAAUGCACUUUGCUUUGAUAUUGACAGUAUAGCCGUUUUCACAUAUGCACUCCUGAAAAUAUCCAGAUAAUUUCCGGAGGAGCGCUCUGGAUAUUUUUCUGACCUGGCUGUUCACACAUGCAUCUCACAGUGGUAGACGAUCCCUGUCAGGCGGGGGGGUGCGGGGGGGGGGAUAUCAACGGAGAACAACAUACUGAUGAACAGAAAAAAAUACGCAGCCAUUUAAUGACGUGCACGGAGAUCGUAGUGGUUGUGUGUAUAAGCUCUUUGCACCGUGCAGCAGUCACUGUAGAAACGUCACUCCCCGCUCCCAUUGGCUCGAGGUAAAUUCUCUGGAAAAUAUCCUGCGGCAUGCUCACAUCAGCUCACUCAGACUUGCUGUGGUAAAAUACUAGGGGUCUGUCAGGAGACACUCUGGGUGAAGUCUCAGCGAAAAAUUAGAUUCUUAGCGUUCACACAUACAGCUCCUUCUGCAAUUAUCAGGAGAUUUUCUGGAGUUUUCUACUACAAGUGUGAAAGCCCUGUAGUAUAGAAUGUUGAAUAUCAUGGUUAUAAUACUGACUUGAACUUGACUGUUUAUUUACAACCUUUGUAUAGAAUUUGACUUAACAAUAUCCACUGGGGUCCAUUAUUAGAAACACUUUUCUGACUUGUAAUUCAGGUCAUAUGAUGCUUCUUAGAGCUUAACAUUUUCUGUUCUUUGAAUCUGCAUGAUAACCUUGUAGAGAGCAUAUAUGUGGUAUAUUUUUUAGUUUCCUAACAAAAGUAUUUUUUUCACAUUGAAUCAGCUAAUAAAAGAGAUUUACAUAA